CUUCCGUGGUGGUCGUUGGGAGCUCAGCUGUCUGAAGGAGUCUGAACUGCUGCACAUGGCAGUCUUACUGCUUUUCUGGGCAGCCUUUCACAGCAGCUGAAGGAAGGCCUGUGCUCCUUACCAAGCGACAGGAGCUCUGAGGAGAAAGUUUUAGAGGUGUGGUGGACAGUAGUUGGCUGUGAGCCAGCAGUGUGCCCUUGCGGCCGAGAAGGCCAGUGGUAUCCUGAGGAGCAUUGAAGAGAGCAUGGCCAGCAGGUCGAGGGAGGCGAGCCUCCCUCUCUACUGUGGCCUGGUGAGACUGCAUCUGGAGUACUGUGUUCAGUUCUGGGCUCCUCGGUUCAAAAAAGUACAGGAAUCUUCUAUAGAGAGCCCAGCGAAAGGCCACAAACAUGUUUGGGACAUGGAACAUCUCCCUUAUGAGGAAAGGGGCUGGUCAUCCUGGAGAAGAGAAGGCUGAGAGGGGAUCUCAUCACUGUUUAUAAAUUGCUGAAGCAUGAGAGUCAAGUGAAUGGGGUCAGGCUCUUUUCAGUGGUGUGCAGUGAUAGAACAAGGGGUAACGGGCAAAAACUGCAACACAAGAAUACAAACAUGAGGACAGACUGUUCUGUGAGGGUGACAGAGCACUGAAACAGUCUGCCCAGAGAGGUUGUGGACUCUCCUUGGAAGAUAAUCAAAACCCGGCUGGAUGCUUUACUAUGCAAUAUACUGUAGGGAACCUGCUUUAGCAGGGAAUUGAACUCAGGGAUAUCCAGAGGUCUCUUCCAACCCCUGCAACUCUGAUUCUGUGAACAGAAAUCACAAGUGGCUCUGUUGUGGCCUGUCAUCCAGUCACCAUGUACAAACAACUGUUUUGGAGCACACAAGUGCUAACUGCUGUGCUGGAAAGAGAGCUCAAUAUGUACUGGUUCCAUCCCCAGGUGCAGCUUGGUGACAGAGCCCACACCAAGUACAGACUGCGGCACACAAAGAUGGGACCAUUGCUCAUCAGUGACUGUUGACAAGAUGGAAGGCACACCAC
ensembl:lncRNA